GACGAACCGUGCGAACGUUGUUCGGAAUCACUGGGCUUAAAGGGCGCGUAGGCGGGCCGGUCGGUCGGAGGUGAAAGCCCCCAGCUCAACUGGGGAAGGGCCUUCGAUACCGCCGGCCUGGAGGGAGGUAGGGGCGUGCGGAACUUCCGGUGGAGCGGUGAAAUGCGUAGAUAUCGGAAGGAACACCGGUGGCGAAGGCGGCACGCUGGGCCUCUCCUGACGCUGAGGCGCGAAAGCCAGGGGAGCGAACGGG
rnacentral:rRNA from 1 species